AGAAUCAACGCUGGCGGCGUGCCUAACACAUGCAAGUCGAGCGCGAAAGGGGAGCAAUCCCCGAGUAGAGCGGCGAACGGGUGAGUAACGCGUGGGUAAUCUACCUCCGAGUGGGGAAUAACAGCGGGAAACUGCUGCUAAUACCGCAUGACAUCGUCGAGCCUUCGGGCCUGACGAUCAAAGCCGGGGACCGCAAGGCCUGGCGCUUGGAGAGGAGCCCGCGUCCGAUUAGCUAGUUGGCGGGGUAAUGGCCCACCAAGGCUCCGAUCGGUAGCCGGCCUGAGAGGGCGGACGGCCACGA
rnacentral:rRNA from 1 species